rnacentral:rRNA from 1 species
UACGGGGGGGGCAAGCGUUGUUCGGAAUUACUGGGCGUAAAGGGCUCGUAGGCGGCCAACUAAGUCAGACGUGAAAUCCCUCGGCUUAACCGGGGAACUGCGUCUGAUACUGGAUGGCUUGAGGUUGGGAGAGGGAUGCGGAAUUCCAGGUGUAGCGGUGAAAUGCGUAGAUAUCUGAAGGAACACCGGUGGCGAAGGCGGCAUCCUGGACCAAUUCUGACGCUGAGGAGCGAAAGCCAGGGGAGCAAACGGG